rnacentral:rRNA from 1 species
AGCUCCAAUAGCGUAUAUUAAAUUUGUUGCGGUUAAAAGCUCGUAGUUGGAUUUCUGCUGUGGGCGGACGGUCCGCACUAUGUGCGUGUAUCUGUUACGGCCUUGGCAUUCUCUUGAGGCACGGGUCUGUGCUUGGUUGCAUGGAUGCGCUGCCCAAGGCUUUUACUUUGAGGAAAUUAGAGUGUUCACGGCAAGCAUACGCUUCUGCAUACAUUAGCAUGGAAUGGUAGUAGAUGGCCCGUUUCCUAAUUUGGUGUUUUCUUAGGAUGAGGGCAAUGGUUAAUAGGGAUAGUUGGGGGCAUUCGUAUUAAGGCGUCAGAGGUGGAAUUCUUGGAUUGCCUUACGACGAGCUACUGCGAAAGCAUUUGCCAAGGAUGUUUUCA